rnacentral:rRNA from 1 species
UUUACUAUUGUUUCGACUUAUCUCAAAUUAUGAGAAUGACGGGCGAUAUGUACCUAUAUUAAUUUUAUUUUUAAUUUAGUUAAUUAAAUUAAUUUUAAUAUUAAAUUCUUUUUUUUAUAAAAUUAAAAAUUUUAUAAAUAAUUUUUUAUAAAAUGUAAUACUUUUAUUCUUAAAUAUUAGUUAUAUUAUGAUUUGAAUUAUUAUUUAUAUUAAUAUCUUAAUUACUUAUUUUAAAAUUAAAUUUUUAAACAACAAUAUAUAAACAUAAUUUAAGUGAUUUUUUUAGUUUAUUAUCUAUUAAUAAAUAUAUUCCUCUAAUAAAAAUAAUAUACAGUCAAAUUUUUUAAAUUUAGUGAUUUAUCAUUUAAUUUUUUAAUAUAAUAUUUUGUUUUAAUAAUAGGGUAUCUAAUCCCUAGUUUAAA